rnacentral:lncRNA from 1 species
AGAUUCUUGGGCAGAGAAACAGCAACAUCUUUUUAAUCUAGUAUUUGUCAGAAAAUGGAACAGUGUCACAAAACACUUCAGCAUAUCCUUAAAAAUCCCCAGUGCUGCCUAAAAGAAUCCCCUGCCUUACAAAAAGAAAAAAAAGGAAAAAAAAAGUGAGUGCUGAAACCAUAAGACAGGUAUGUUUAUCUAGAGAAAAAUAAGCCUUAACUUUCUCCCAAGAAUGCCAUCAGGCUUUGCAUAUAAGUUCUUUUUUUUUUUUCAUUUCUUUUUUUAUUUUUAUUUUUUAACUUAAUGGAUUUUAUUUGCAUAUCAGUUCUUAAAAGAAGGUUUACACCUACUGACCUGCUGCUGCCUGUGUUCUUCACAGCGAAGCACUCGCUUCUUUUGCUCCUCCUUUUUUGUAACUGCUCUUUUUUUUGUUUUUGUUUUGUUGUUGUUGUUGUUUUUGUUUUGUUUUUUGGGGUUUUUUUUUUUUUUGGUCUUUUUGGGGCCACACCUGCGGCAUAUGGAGGUUCCCAGGCUAGGGGUUGAAUCGGAGCUGCAGCUGCCUGCCUACACCACAGCCACAGCAACACGGAAUCCCAGCCUCGUCUGCGACCUACGCCACAGCUCACAGCAGUGCCAGAUCCUUAACCCACUGAGCCAGUCCAGGGAUCGAACCUGCGUCGUCAUGGAUCCUAGUCAGAUUCGUUUCCGCUGCGCCACAACGGGAACUCCCGUACUGCUCUCUUGAAGGAAUCCCCCAAUCUGGCAGCCAAAGUGAUUUCUUAGUCUUCAGCUUCUCCAGACUUUCACCUUUCAUGUGGCCCAGAUGCCAGUGACUGCCCUUCCUUGCUGAACACCCUGCCUCCCCCCUCCGCCGCCCCCCGCCACCUCUGUGAGGAGGCUUUUCUCCAGAUGCUCCUCCUUGUCUAUAUCUGCCACUUUCUCACUUUUCAAACCUGCCAUCACUUACUGUCUGAUUCAGCUCAGGCUGCCGUAACCAAGUACCAGUGACAGUGGCUUAAACAACAGAAAAUUUUUUCUCAAAGUUCUGAAGGCUGACAGGUCCAAGGUCCAGGUGCCACCUGCUUCAUUCCGGGGGAGGACUCUUUUCGUGUCUUGUAGACAAGUGUCUGCUUGCUGUGUCCCCCCGUGACCUCUGAGAACUUGUAUGUGGAGCGAGGGACAGAGAGACAGAGAGACGAGAUUUCGACAUCUUUUCCUUUUCUCAGGAGACCAACAAUCCUACGGGUCUCUGGCACCCACACUUCUAGCCUCAAUUACCCUUUUUUUCUUUGAGUUACCUUUUUUUUCCUUCGGCCACACUCACAGCAUGACCUGAUCCGCAGCAGUGACAGCACCAGAUCCUUAACCGCUGAGCCACCUGGGAGCUCCCCUCAGUUACCCUUAAUUACUCCCUGAAGACUCCCUGUCCAAAUACAAAGUGGGGCUUGGGGCAUCAACAUAUGAAUUUGGGGAGGGGCGGGACACAGUUCAGUCCAUCGUACUUAUUUCUUGCAGAACCCGGUUGAUGGAGAAUCUUGGUAGAAUGAAUUUCUGAUGAUCGUGGGCUGCUGCUUCGGAGCACUCCUCCCUCCCUGGUUUUCACUCCUCAGCUCCUUGAAGCAGAAUGACAUCUUGGAAAGGUGCCUGAGGACAGUACGGCCUCGCCCUGCCUCACCCCAUGUGUCACUCUGGACACCUAUAGUUUUCUAAACACUCUCCCCAGAGAGCUCCUUCCUCCAUCCUCCAUGCCUUUGCCUAAAAUCGUUCUUCAGCCUGGAAUGGACCCCCCCCAACCCCACUGCCCUCCCUCUAAACGCCUGCUGCUUCCUCACCAGCUCUUCUGCAGCCCUGCCUGCACUGGCAUCUCUUCCCAGCUUCACCCUCCAGCUGGAGCCCUUCCUCCUCUGAGUCCCCAGCACCACCUGUCCACCUGUUCUGCCGCUCACCUCACUGCUCCCUCUACCCCUGACCCAUGCGUUCCUGCAAAAGUGUAAUUUUAUGUCCUCCUUUGCCAGCUGCUCAGAAGUGGGUUUUUCUGUCUAACUCAGAAUCAGUCAUCUAAGAGGCUAAGUUGGCACAUUGCGGAUUCUCAAUGCAUAACUUUAAAGGAGGGAUAUGCAAGUUCUAUGUCAUGCUCAAAAGUUAAAAGUAUCAUCUCUGUGUUUUGUAAAUUCAUGCUUAAUCUUUUCAUGAUGAAUUAUGUCAAGAGUGCCCUUAAAAGGAUGAAAUGACAGAAGAAAAUGGUUUAAUCCUCAUGGAUCUUUUAAAUAAAUUAUUCAGACCUAAAAUGGUAACCAGCAGGCUUUCAUUAUCCACUAUAAAAAUAUUUUGAUGAUUGGAGUUCCUGUCAUGGCGCCGUGGCUAACGAAUCCAGCUAGGAACCAUGAGGUUACAGGUUCGAUCCCUGGCCUCGCUCAGUGGGUUAAGGAUCUGGCGUUGCCGUGAGCUGUGGUGUGGGUCGCAGAUGUGGCUUGGAUCCCACGUUGUUGUGGCUCUGGCGUAGGCAGGUGGCUACAACUCCUAUUAGACCCCUAGCCUGGGAACCUCCAUAUGCCAUGGGACCGGCCCUAGAAAAGCCAAAAAGCCAAAAAGCCAAAAAAAAAAAAAAUUCAAUGAUUGAUCUGAUAGGUAUCAUGUUAAAGAAAAUUCCACGUUGGUUUUGGAUAAUAGCAUGUGGUUUCAUCUGUGAAGAUAUGUCUGAUACCACAUUCUGGCUGCAGCUCUUCUGCAUCAGUACCGCUAUCGACGUGCUUUAUAUUCUGUUGAGUUCCCACUGUGGUGCAGUGGAAACUAAUCUGACUAGCAACAAUGAGGUUGCGGGUUCGAUCCCCAGCCUCACUCAGUGGGUUAAGGGUCCAAUGUUGCUGUGAGCUGUGGUAUAGGUCACAGAUGUGUCUCGGAUCCUUCGUUGCUAUGGCUGUGGCAUAGGCCAGCAGCUACAGCUCUGAUUUGACCCCUAGCCUGAGAACCUCCAUAUGCCACAGGUGCAGCCCU